ensembl:lncRNA
GCCUAGUGGUUAGAGUGUAGAGGUGGCAGGUAGCCUAGUGGUUAGAGUGUAGAGGCGGCAGGUAGCCUAGUGGUUAGAGUGUAGAGGAGGUAGGGUAGCCUAGUGGUUAGAGUGUAGAGGAGGCAGGUAGCCUAGUGGUUAGAGUGUAGAGGCGGCAGGUCGCCUAGUGGUUAGAGUGUAGAGGUGGCAACGUAGCCUAGUGGUUAGAGUGUAGAGGCGGCAGGUAGCCUAGUGGUUAGAGUGUAGAGGUGGCAAUGUAGCCUAGUGGUUAGAGUGUAGAGGCGGCAGGUAGCCUAGUGGUUAGAGCAUUGGACUCGUCACCAGAUCAAAUCCCCGAGCUGAUAAGGUCCAAAUCUGUCCUUCUGCCCUUCAACAAGGCAGUUAACCCACUGUUCCCCCGUAGGCAGUCAUUGAAAAUGAGAAUGUGUUCUUAACAG